rnacentral:rRNA from 1 species
AUUGAACGCUGGCGGAAUGCUUUACACAUGCAAGUCGAACGGCAGCACGGGGGCAACCCUGGUGGCGAGUGGCGAACGGGUGAGUAAUACAUCGGAACGUGCCCGGGCGUGGGGGAUAACGUAGCGAAAGUUACGCUAAUACCGCAUACGAUCUGAGGAUGAAAGCGGGGGACCUUCGGGCCUCGCGCGAUCGGAGCGGCCGAUGUCAGAUUAGGUAGUUGGUGGGGUAAAGGCCUACCAAGCCGACGAUCUGUAGCUGGUCUGAGAGGACGACCAGCCACACUGGGACUGAGACACGGCCCAGACUCCUACGGGAGGCAGCAGUGGGGAAUUUUGGACAAUGGGCGCAAGCCUGAUCCAGCCAUUCCGCGUGCAGGACGAAGGCCUUCGGGUUGUAAACUGCUUUUGUAUGGAACGAAAAGGCUCUGGCUAAUACCUGGGGCUCAUGACGGUACCGUAAGAAUAAGCACCGGCUAACUACGUG